rnacentral:rRNA from 1 species
UACGGAGGGUGCAAGCGUUAUCCGGAUUCACUGGGUUUAAAGGGUGCGUAGGUGGGCAGGUAAGUCAGUGGUGAAAUCUCCGAGCUUAACUCGGAAACUGCCAUUGAUACUAUCUGUCUUGAAUAUUCUGGAGGUGAGCGGAAUAUGUCAUGUAGCGGUGAAAUGCUUAGAUAUGACAUAGAACACCCAUUGCGAAGGCAGCUCACUACGGGAUUAUUGACACUGAGGCACGAAAGCGUGGGGAUCAAACAGG